UACGUAGGGGGCAAGCGUUGUCCGGAAUUAUUGGGCGUAAAGAGCUCGUAGGCGGUCUGUUACGUCUGCUGUGAAAACCCGGGGCUUAACCCUGGGCUUGCAGUGGAUACGGGCAGACUAGAGGCAGGUAGGGGAGAAUGGAAUUCCCGGUGUAGCGGUGAAAUGCGCAGAUAUCGGGAGGAACACCGGUGGCGAAGGCGGUUCUCUGGGCCUGACCUGGCGCUGAGGAGCGAAAGCGUGGGGAGCGAACAGG
rnacentral:rRNA from 1 species